UCGGGAAUUUUGGGCAAUGGGCGAAAGCCUGACCCAGCAACGCCGCGUGAAGGAUGAAAUCCUUCGGGAUGUAAACUUCGCAAGAACAGGAAGAAUAAGUCGGUGUUAACACCACCGGCGAUGACGGUACUGUUUGUAAGCUCCGGCUAACUCCGUGCCAGCAGCCGCGGUAAUACGGGGGGAGCAAGCGUUGUUCGGAUUUACUGGGCGUAAAGGGCGCGUAGGCGGCCACCGCAAGUCGACUGUGAAAUCUCCGGGCUUAACCCGGAACGGUCAGCCGAUACUGCGGGGCUAGAGUGCAGAAGGGGCAACUGGAAUUCUCGGUGUAGCGGUGAAAUGCGUAGAUAUCGAGAGGAACACCUGCGGCGAAGGCGGGUUGCUGGGCUGACACUGACGCUGAGGCGCGAAAGCUAGGGGAGCGAACGGGAUUAGAUACCCCGGUAGUCCUGGCCUUAAACGAUGAAUGCUUGGUGUCUGGGGUUUUAUAGUCCCCGGGUGCCGUCGCUAACGCUUUAAGCAUUCCG
rnacentral:rRNA from 1 species